rnacentral:rRNA from 1 species
AUGUGGUUUAAUUCGAUGCAACGCGAAGAACCUUACCUGGGCUUGACAUCCCGAUCGCACCUUAUGGAAACAUAGGGGUCAGUUCGGCUGGAUCGGUGACAGGUGCUGCAUGGCUGUCGUCAGCUCGUGUCGUGAGAUGUUGGGUUAAGUCCCGCAACGAGCGCAACCCUUGUCCUUAGUUGCCAGCAUUCAGUUGGGCACUCUAAGGAGACUGCCGGUGUCAAACCGGAGGAAGGUGGGGAUGACGUCAAGUCCUCAUGGCCCUUAUGUCCAGGGCUACACACGUGCUACAAUGGCCGGUACAAAGGGCAGCCACUCAGCGAUGAGGCGCUAAUCCCAUAAAGCCGGUCUCAGUCCGGAUCGCAGUCUGCAACUCGACUGCGUGAAGUUGGAAUCGCUAGUAAUCGUAGAUCAGCAUGCUACGGUGAAUACGUUCCCGGGCCUU